CUACGGGUUGCAGCAGUAGGGAAUCUUAGACAAUGGGGGAAACCCUGAUCUAGCCAUGCCGCGUGAGUGAUGAAGGCCUUAGGGUUGUAAAGCUCUUUCGCUGGGGAAGAUAAUGACGGUACCCAGUAAAGAAACCCCGGCUAACUCCGUGCCAGCAGCCGCGGUAAUACGGAUGGGGUUAGCGUUGUUCGGAAUUACUGGGCGUAAAGCGCGCGUAGGCGGGCUAUUAAGUCAGGGGUGAAAUCCCGGGGCUCAACCCCGGAACUGCCUUUGAUACUGGUAGUCUUGAGUUCGAGAGAGGUGAGUGGAAUUCCGAGUGUAGAGGUGAAAUUCGUAGAUAUUCGGAGGAACAUCAGUGGCGAAGGCGACUCACUGGCUCGAUACUGACGCUGAGGUGCGAAAGUGUGGGGAGCAAACAGGAUUAGAUACCCCUGUAGUC
rnacentral:rRNA from 1 species